GUGACAAGCGUUUUUCGGUUCUGCCAGGGGAUCUGAGUGGCACACAACAACAUCCACUAUGAAAUGUGGUGUGUGCUGGGUGGGGGCUGACUGAGGAGCUCGAGAGUAGGAGUGAGGCAGGCUAUUUUAAAGAGGUGGCAAGGGAAGGCCUCUCUGAGCAAAGGCAGAGACUUUAGGCAAAGACUUGAUUGGUGUGAGGAAGUGAGCCAUUCAAAGUCAAGGGCACCAGAGGUUCUAAGCAGAGGAAACAGCAAAUGCAAAGCAGAGAACAAGCUUGGCACAUUUGAGAACCAACAAUAAGUCCAGUGUGUCUGGAGCCACAGGAGUCAAGGAGACAGCAGCUGGCAGUUCAGCCAAUGGGCUACCAGGAAACCAGAUGGCAGAGAGCCUGGUAGACCACGGUAGAAGCAUAUGGGAAACUGCAUUCCGAUCCAGGGAAGUAUAGGAAGCAGUAAUAAAAGUGGGAAGACCUAUUAUAAGUUCGUUGCAGUCAUCCAGCUGCUGAUUUUCUCUCGAGGGCUCACCCCCCUGGACUCUGGGUGGUCCUGGGAGGAUGUGAACCCUGUACCCUGACUCCCAUCACUGAGGCCAAGAGUCUGGACCCCUCCUCCUCCUCCUGCCCCAGCACAGCAGGGAACCCGGCAGGACAGCUGUCCUCUAGGACUCUUGAGUUCACUCACUUCAGCCACCAAGCGCUGACUGUGUUUCCACCAAAGGGCAGUUCCUGCGGCUUCUACUCCCCCUCUCCAAGGUGCCAGGGUUACUGCCUGUCCUCCAGCCUUCCAUGGCAUCACUGUCUCUCCAGAUCAUCUCAUUCAAUUCUCUCAUUGCUCCAGUGAGCCUGGAUGGUUUUCUGUUGCCGACAACAAAAAACCCCAACUGAUACCAUUCCCCUUCCCCAAGGUCACUUACCCAGGGCAAGGUCCAGCCUGAGAUUUGAGUUCCUACUGAGUCCCCUACAGGGGCACAGCUAUGAGCUGAAUUGUGCCUCUCUCCAGGUUCAUUCCUAACCCCUGAGACCUCAGAAUGGGACAGUAUUUGGACACACGGUCUUUCUUGAGCUAAUACAGGUUAAAUAGUUUACUGAGGGGAUCCUCAUCCAAUACAACUGGUGUCCUUAUAAGAGGAAAUUGGGACACACAUUAGUGUGCAGUGGGAAGUCCAUGUGAGGACGGACAAAGAAGCUUGGCCAUCCACAAGCCCAGGAGAGAGACUCAGAACAAAUCAAUCUGCGGACACCUUGAUCUUGGGCUUCUAGCCUCCAGAACUGUGAGAAAAUACAUUUCUGUUGGGUAAGCGGCCCAGCCUGUGGUCCUUUGUCACGGCAGCCCUGGCAGACGAAUGCAGGCCGCACUUCCCACCGCCAUGGUGCCACUGUCUGUGGACAGCAUGCCAGCCUCAUCGCACGAGUUAUCCCUGAAGAUGCUCAAAUUAGCAGGCUGUUCUUAGAACCAAAUUUCCUGGACAGGCUUCAGAAAACAUUCUCCCUGGUGAUACAGACAUCUGAAA
rnacentral:lncRNA from 1 species